ACCCCUCCACUGCCGCGCGCUGGGCGGGAGCGUCCGUGACUCAGCGCCAGCUCCGGGCCCGCCGCGAGCCGCCUCAGCUGCCCCCCCUCCCCCGGGAAAAGGAGCCUGCCCUGGAUCCCGGCCGCCACAGGGACCGGGAGGGGCCGAGACAGGGCAGCAGAGGCCGUUUACACCCGUCUCACUGCCCCAAGCUGUUCCCCGCGUGGCAGAGCAACGGCUCGGCCGCCGCUGCGCGCGAUGCGCUUAGAAGAGAACCAGAUUCCCCUGCCAGCACCACUAGGACCGCGGCUCGAUUCGUGACACACCUGUUGCGCGAGAGCUUCUGUCCAAACCGGCUGCUCUGGAGUGAAGCUUCACCCAGGUGGUGAGGAGAGAAAAAAUAAAGUCACCCAACAUCCCAUUCUGAUACUACAACUCUGGUACCUGCCCUUUAUAGACUCUUAACUACCUAGCAGUUUUCUCCUGUAAUAGGCAAACAAGAGGAUUAGGGAACACUGCAAACAGCGGAGAUAAUCUAGGAAGAGUCGCUAAAGGAUAUGUUUUCACAUGAGGAAAAUAUAUUUUCUAGUUUCAUGCCCUUGAGAGAAAUAAAGCCAAUAAACCCAUAGACAGUGCUGAUGCUCAAACACGCUCUCUACCAAAAAGGUGCAAGAUGGAGGAAUGAGAGAAGCACUUGCAAGAAUUUUCUUCAACCUUUAGCUGAAUGGCAUCGAUAGCAAUCGUUCACCAUUUGGUCUGUUCCUGUAUGGCUGCCAGGGCUUGACAGGUCAAAAGUGCAUGGUCAGUACAGCUUUGACUGCAAGAAUACUCAUGACAAAAAGUCAUGAACAGCCUCUCAGCCUUUAAGAAAGUAAUGAACCUGACUUGAGCAAGUAACCAGACACACUGUGGAAGUGACAGCUAGAAUGCUGAUUAAAAGGGGUCUAAAAUUUAAGUACGCCCUCUGUUUGAAAAGUAACAUGGAAAAUUAAAAUCUCCCAUUAAGGAAAUUCACUCCACAAAGCCAGCAGGAAGAGCCUGGUCGUGUGUGUGAAUCACUCAGGUUAAACCUUUUAAUGUACACCCACCUAGACAAAUAUUUCCUCCUUUCUCUUACUCCAUACCUAAUGCUUCCCCUUCCCACCCCCUAAAUGGAUAAACAGAUUGAGGACAGAAGGUAACUGCAAAUUAUCCCCAGAUAACAAAACUACAAGAGUGCUCCAGUUCUUAAGGUUAGUGGUACUCAGGUAUCCUGCUCUCAUUUAACAGAUAUAGCUACAUAACAGAUGCACCAUAAAGUAGCAUCUAUAAAACCAAAAUGCUUAAAGUCUUGGAAGUGGCCUCCAUGGCUAGCUCAGUGUUUAAGACUUUGAGAAGCCGAUACUGUGAUACAAGUUGGCAGCCAUCAGUGAAAACUGUGAACUACCUUCCUCUCAACAAAAAGCAACCUACAGAGCAGGCAGUGACAGUCGUUGAUAAGUACCAGCUUGAGUCCACUAUGAUGUUCUUCCCCAGAGGGACAUAAGGAACUAAUACCUGAAUAUCACCAUUGCAAUUGUCACAUCCAGAACAAGGAUUACUGGGCCACAGACUGAAAUUUGGUUGCUGGCUGAAGGUUGUUAAAACCCUGCUUACUGGAAACCCCCCUUUUCUUUCAGGAAAUCAGAGUCCGCAUAACAAAGUUCCAAGAAAGCUCUCUCCAUCUUUCUAAAUAAAAUUUUCUUCUUUCAAAUA